rnacentral:rRNA from 5 species
UCAGGUGGUUAUGGCGGCAGGGUUCCACCUCUUCCCAUUCCGAACAGAGAAGUUAAGCCUGCUUGCGCCGAUGGUACUGCAAUGCAAUGCGGGAGAGUAGGUAGCCGCCUUUU